GGCGAAAGGGAGAGUAAUACGUAGGUACCUGCCCUCAGGUUCGGGAUAGCUGCGGGAAACUGCAAUUAAUACCGGAUGAUGUCUCUGGACCAAAGGUGUGAUUCCGCCAGAGGAUGGGCCUGCGUCCUAUCAGCUAGUUGGUGUGGUAAUGGCGCACCAAGGCGAAGACGGGUACGGGGUGUGAGAGCAUGCCCCCGCUCACUGGGACUGAGAUACUGCCCAGACACCUACGGGUGGCUGCAGUCGAGAAUCUUCCGCAAUGGGCGAAAGCCUGACGGAGCGACGCCGCGUGUGGGAUGAAGGCCUUCGGGUUGUAAACCACUGUCAGUGGGGAGCAAAUGCAUCAGGGUUCUCCCUGGUGUUUGAGCGACCCGCAGAGGAAGCACAGGCUAAUUCCGUGCCAGCAGCCGCGGUAAUACGGAAUGUGCAAACGUUAUUCGGAAUCACUGGGCUUAAAGAGUCCGUAGGCGGCUUGUUAGGUGAGGUGUGAAAUCCCUCGGCCCAACCGAGGAAUUGCGCUUCAAACCGGCAAGCUAGAGGAGGAUAGAGGUGGGCGGAACUGAUGGUGGAGCGGUGAAAUGCGUUGAUAUCAUCAGGAACACCGGAGGCGAAGGCGGUCCACUGGGUCCUAUCUGACGCUGAGGGACGAAAGCUAGGGGAGCGAACGGGAUUAGAUACCCCGGUAGUCC
rnacentral:rRNA from 1 species